rnacentral:rRNA from 1 species
GAUGAACGCUAGCUACAGGCUUAACACAUGCAAGUCGAGGGGAAACGACAUCGAAAGCUUGCUUUCGAUGGGCGUCGACCGGCGCACGGGUGAGUAACGCGUAUCCAACCUGCCCACCACUUGGGGAUAACCUUGCGAAAGUAAGACUAAUACCCGAUGAUAUCUCUAGAAGACAUCUGAAAGGGAUUAAAGAUUUAUCGGUGAUGGAUGGGGAUGCGUCUGAUUAGCUUGUUGGCGGGGUAACGGCCCACCAAGGCAACGAUCAGUAGGGGUUCUGAGAGGAAGGUCCCCCCACAUUGGAACUGAGACACGGUCCAAACUCCUACGGGAGGCAGCAGUGAGGAAUAUUGGUCAAUGGGCGAGAGCCUGAACCAGCCAAGUAGCGUGCAGGACGAGGCCCUAUGGGUUGUAAACCUCUUUUAGCCCGGGGAGCAAAGCGCCGUGCGCGGUGCUAUGAGAGUA